GUCCAGCUAACGAGUCCCGAAUGGGACGAAACGCGCGUUUUGUAU
rfam:Schistosoma mansoni, Puerto Rico, WGS project CABG01000000 data, contig: 1205